UUUAUAAUUCUGAUCAAAGUGGUUUCCAAUUAGAAAUCCAUUCAGGGCGAACGUUAACAGAAGAAGGUACAAAACAAGUAGAAUGCCUUGUACAAUCCGUUUCAGCGACAACUCAUAGCUACACAAUCAAGCCAACAAUAUCAGCAGCAGGAAAAUUGUUGUCACCUCUUUUGAUAAUUUUAAAAGAGCCAUCCGGGCGGUUGGGGCCAAUUGUAGAAGAACCAUUUUUCGACCUCCUAAUGUCUUUAUAAGCGUUUCAAAAUCUGGCAAGGCUACAUCAGAACAUUUCAAAGUAUGGCUUCAAGAAGUGUUUUUCCCAAACGUCGGCGAGAAAAGUGUGCUUUUGAUACAUUCAUGGAGUGGACAUUGUCCCAGUGUUGUCACGGAAGUUACACCACGUACCAAAGAAAUUGUUACAAUGAUCAUACCAAAGGGAACGACAGGGAAUAUCCAACCACUCGAUGUCUUCGGACUUAGAAUUUGGAAAAAUUAUGUCAGACAUUUUUCAGACAGUGUCAUAUUACUUGAUUAUGAUUUAAGUCUACAUUUACGAAAUAAUAUAAUCAAGCUGCAAUCUCUAGUACAUAAUCAAUUACCAUCUCCGAGGUACGAAAAUUUAUUUCGAUAUGCCUGGUUCAAAAGUGGGUACAUAGAAGAACGACCUGAGAAUUUCGAAAAUCCCGUUGAAUUUGCUUUUGGUAUAUCAUCUCAAACACAAUGUGAAAUUGAAGGCUGCACAAAUGUGGCUGUAGUAAGAUGUUCGUGGUGUAAAAAAUCACUUUGUUUCAAACAUUUCUUCGAAGAACAUCAUUACUGUUCAAAAUAUAAUCCAUAAGUUCAGAAAUGAUAAUUAAAACAAAAAU